rnacentral:siRNA from 1 species
UCUUUUGGUUAAUGAUGAACAUG